UACACACCGCCCGUCACACCACGAAAGUCUGUCAUACCAGAAGUCGGUAAGCUAACCCGCAAGGGAGGCAGCCGCCCACGGUAUGGCGGGUGAUUGGGGUG
rnacentral:rRNA from 1 species